rnacentral:sRNA from 1 species
AUUUACAUUGCUAUCGUUUACUGUUUCUUGUUACCUAUUGCUUAAUUUUUACAUUUCUUGCAUGUUAUCACUCAGAUACUCAACCACCCUGUUGUCUGGUGACAGACUGUGCAGUCUAGUAUUCCUGUUACAUUUUCUGUCUGUUACUCAACCUGUCACUCGACCACACCCAGUGCUUGGCAACAAGUUGUGUUGGUCGAGUGUUUUAACUGUGUCUGCUUGAAUUUCUGUUUCCUCCAUAUUCACUAAGGACUCCUAGAAACUCAAAACCUGUAAUUGCUUGGCUUGACUUUUUGAACUCUGAUUGCAUCUUGAUUGCUAGCAUCACACCCAUUUGGAUUAACAACCUAAAAUACUACAACGACAGGAUAGUGUUUUAUGUGUAAUU